rnacentral:rRNA from 1 species
GACGAACCGUGCGAACGUUAUUCGGAAUCACUGGGCUUAAAGCGCGUGUAGGCGGCCCGGCACGUCAUCGGCUGAAAUCCCCCGGCUCAACCGGGGAAGGGGCCGGGAUACGGCCGGGCUGGAGGGGGGUAGGGGGGACGGGAACUCACGGUGGAGCGGUGAAAUGCGUAGAUAUCGCUUGGAACGCCAACGGUGAAAACAGGUUGCUGGGGGUGUGCUGACGCUGAGACACGAAAGCCAGGGGAGCGAACGGG